AGAGUUUGAUCCUGGCUCAGGAUGAACGCUGGCGGCGUGCCUAACACAUGCAAGUCGAGCGAUUUACUUCGGUAAAGAGCGGCGGACGGGUGAGUAACGCGUGGGUAACCUGCCCUGUACACACGGAUAACGUACCGAAAGGUAUGCUAAUACGAGAUAAAAUAUUUUUAUCGCAUGGUAGAAAUAUCAAAGCUUUUGCGGUACAGGAUGGACCCGCGUCUGAUUAGCUAGUUGGUAAGGUAACGGCUUACCAAGGCGACGAUCAGUAGCCGACCUGAGAGGGUGAUCGGCCACAUUGGAACUGAGACACGGUCCAAACUCCUACGGGAGGCAGCAGUGGGGAAUAUUGCACAAUGGGCGAAAGCCUGAUGCAGCAACGCCGCGUGAGCGAUGAAGGCCUUCGGGUCGUAAAGCUCUGUCCUCAAGGAAGAUAAUGACGGUACUUGAGGAGGAAGCCCCGGCUAACUACGUGCCAGCAGCCGCGGUAAUACGUAGGKGGSKAGCGUUAUCCGGAAUUACUGGGCGUAAAGGGUGCGUAGGUGGUUUCUUAAGUCAGAGGUGAAAGGCUACGGCUCAACCGUAGUAAGCCUUUGAAACUGGGGAACUUGAGUGCAGGAGAGGAGAGUGGAAUUCCUAGUGUAGCGGUGAAAUGCGUAGAUAUUAGGAGGAACACCAGUUGCGAAGGCGGCUCUCUGGACUGUAACUGACACUGAGGCACGAAAGCGUGGGGAGCAAACAGGAUCAGAUACCCUGGUAGUCCACGCCGUAAACGAUGAGUACUAGCUGUCGGAGGUUACCCCCUUCGGUGGCGCAGCUAACGCAUUAAGUACUCCGCCUGGGAAGUACGCUCGCAAGAGUGAAACUCAAGGGAAUUGACGGGGACUCGCACAAGUAGCGGAGCAUGUGGUUUAAUUCGAAGCAACGCGAAGAACCUUACCUAAGCUUGACAUCCUUUUGACCGAUGCCUAAUCGCAUCUUUCCCUUCGGGGACAGAAGUGACAGGUGGUGCAUGGUUGUCGUCAGCUCGUGUCGUGAGAUGUUGGGUUAAGUCCCGCAACGAGCGCAACCCUUGCCUUUAGUUGCCAGCAUUAAGUUGGGCACUCUAGAGGGACUGCCAGGGAUAACCUGGAGGAAGGUGGGGAUGACGUCAAAUCAUCAUGCCCCUUAUGCUUAGGGCUACACACGUGCUACAAUGGGUGGUACAGAGGGCAGCCAAGUCGUGAGGCGGAGCUAAUCCCUUAAAGCCAUUCUCAGUUCGGAUUGUAGGCUGAAACUCGCCUACAUGAAGCUGGAGUUACUAGUAAUCGCAGAUCAGAAUGCUGCGGUGAAUGCGUUCCCGGGUCUUGUACACACCGCCCGUCACACCACGGAAGUUGGGGGCGCCCGAAGCCACUUAGCUAACCCAUUUGGGAAGCGAGUGUCGAAGGUGAAAUCAAUAACUGGGGUGAAGUCGUAACAAGGUAGCCGUAUCGGAAGGUGCGGCUGGAUCACCUCCUU
rnacentral:rRNA from 1 species